UACAGGGGGUGCAAACGUUGCUCGGAAUUAUUGGGCGUAAAGCGCGCGUAGGCGGCCACUUAAGUCGGAUGUGAAAGCCCCUGGCUCAACUGGGGAAGUGCACCCGAAACUGAAUGGCUUGAAUGCAAAAGAGGGUCGCGGAAUUCCCAGUGUAGAGGUGAAAUUCGUAGAUAUUGGGAAGAACACCGGUGGCGAAGGCGGCUAUCUGGCCCGUAAUUGACGCUGAGGCGCGAAAGCGUGGGGAGCAAACAGG
rnacentral:rRNA from 1 species